AGAGUUUGAUCCUGGCUCAGGAUGAACGCUGGCGGCGUGCUUAACACAUGCAAGUCGAACGAUGAAGCCCAGCUUGCUGGGUGGAUUAGUGGCGAACGGGUGAGAAACACGUGAGCAACCUGCCCCUGACUCUGGGAUAAGCGCUGGAAACGGCGUCUAAUACUGGAUACGAACAAGAAUCGCAUGGUUACUUGUUGGAAAGAUUUUUCGGUUGGGGAUGGGCUCGCGGCCUAUCAGCUUGUUGGUGAGGUAAUGGCUCACCAAGGCGUCGACGGGUAGCCGGCCUGAGAGGGUGACCGGCCACACUGGGGCUGAGACACGGCCCAGACUCCUACGGGAGGCAGCAGUGGGGAAUAUUGCACAAUGGGCGCAAGCCUGAUGCAGCAACGCCGCGUGAGGGAUGACGGCCUUCGGGUUGUAAACCUCUUUUAGCAGGGAAGAAGCGAGAGUGACGGUACCUGCAGAAAAAGCACCGGCUAACUACGUGCCAGCAGCCGCGGUAAUACGUAGGGUGCAAGCGUUAUCCGGAAUUAUUGGGCGUAAAGAGCUCGUAGGCGGUUUGUCGCGUCUGCUGUGAAAUCUGGGGGCUCAACCCCCAGCCUGCAGUGGGUACGGGCAGACUAGAGUGCGGUAGGGGAGAUUGGAAUUCCUGGUGUAGCGGUGGAAUGCGCAGAUAUCAGGAGGAACACCGAUGGCGAAGGCAGAUCUCUGGGCCGUAACUGACGCUGAGGAGCGAAAGGGUGGGGAGCAAACAGGCUUAGAUACCCUGGUAGUCCACCCCGUAAACGUUGGGAACUAGUUGUGGGGUCCAUUCCACGGAUUCCGUGACGCAGCUAACGCAUUAAGUUCCCCGCCUGGGGAGUAUGGCCGCAAGGCUAAAACUCAAAGGAAUUGACGGGGACCCGCACAAGCGGCGGAGCAUGCGGAUUAAUUCGAUGCAACGCGAAGAACCUUACCAAGGCUUGACAUAUACGAGAACGGGCCAGAAAUGGUCAACUCUUUGGACACUCGUAAACAGGUGGUGCAUGGUUGUCGUCAGCUCGUGUCGUGAGAUGUUGGGUUAAGUCCCGCAACGAGCGCAACCCUCGUUCUAUGUUGCCAGCACGUAAUGGUGGGAACUCAUGGGAUACUGCCGGGGUCAACUCGGAGGAAGGUGGGGAUGACGUCAAAUCAUCAUGCCCCUUAUGUCUUGGGCUUCACGCAUGCUACAAUGGCCGGUACAAUGGGCUGCAAUACCGUGAGGUGGAGCGAAUCCCAAAAAGCCGGUCCCAGUUCGGAUUGAGGUCUGCAACUCGACCUCAUGAAGUCGGAGUCGCUAGUAAUCGCAGAUCAGCAACGCUGCGGUGAAUACGUUCCCGGGUCUUGUACACACCGCCCGUCAAGUCAUGAAAGUCGGUAACACCUGAAGCCGGUGGCCUAACCCCUCGGGGAGGGAGCUGUCGAAGGUGGGAUCGGUAAUUAGGACUAAGUCGU
rnacentral:rRNA from 1 species